rnacentral:rRNA from 1 species
GACGAACGCUGGCGGCGUGCCUAAUACAUGCAAGUUGAGCGCUGAAGGUUGGUACUUGUACCAACUGGAUGAGCAGCGAACGGGUGAGUAACGCGUGGGGAAUCUGCCUUUGAGCGGGGGACAACAUUUGGAAACGAAUGCUAUACCGCAUAAAAACUUUAAACACAAGUUUUAAGUUUGAAAGAUGCAAUUGCAUCACUCAAAGAUGAUCCCGCGUUGUAUUAGCUAGUUGGUGAGGUAAAGGCUCACCAAGGCGAUGAUACAUAGCCGACCUGAGAGGGUGAUCGGCCACAUUGGGACUGAGACACGGCCCAAACUCCUACGGGAGGCAGCAGUAGGGAAUCUUCGGCAAUGGACGAAAGUCUGACCGAGCAACGCCGCGUGAGUGAAGAAGGGUUUCGGAUCGUAAAACUCUGUUGGUAGAGAAGAACGUUGGUGAGAGUGGAAAGCUCAUCAAGUGACGGUAACUACCCAGAAAGGGACGGCUAACUACGUG